rnacentral:tRNA from 1 species
GCCGAAGUGGUGGAAUUGGUAGACACGCAUGCUUGAGGGGCAUGUGGGGUAAUCCCCGUGCCGGUUCGAGUCCGGCCUUCGGUACUA